rnacentral:rRNA from 1 species
CCUACGGUGGCUGCAGUGAGGAAUAUUUGUCAAUGGGAGAGAUCCUGAACCAGCCAAGCCGCGUGAGGGAAGACGGGCCUAUGGGUUGUAAACCUCUUUUGUCGGAGAACAAAACCCGGGACGUGUCCCGGACUGCGUGUAUCCGAAGAAAAAGCAUCGGCUAACUCCGUGCCAGCAGCCGCGGUAAUACGGAGGAUGCGAGGGUUAUCCGGAUUUUUUGGGUUUAAAGGGGGCGUAGGCGGGCCGUUAAGUCAGCGGUAAAAUUGUGGGGCUCAACCCCGGCGAGCCGUUGAAACUGGCAGACUUGAGUGGGCGAGAGGUACGCGGAAUGCGCGGUGUAGCGGUGAAAUGCAUAGAUAUCGCGCAGAACUCCGAUUGCGAAGGCAGCGUACCGGCGCGAGACUGACGCUGAGGCACGAAAGCGUGGGGAUCGAACAGGAUUAGAUACCCUUGUAGUC